rnacentral:lncRNA from 1 species
CCACAACACAAUCCAAAUCACAAUACAAAAUCCACAGUCCGACAAAAAUAAUAAUAUUGUUUCUGAUACAAUCACAUAAUUAUUUUCUCACAUUUAAUCUAAUUAUCUCAGUCUCAAUUUACAUAACAGAAUAUUAACUCCUUUUGUAAUUAAUAUGCAGUAAUUCUAAGAUCAGGCUACUAACUUAUUAAAUAAUUUAAUUAAGUAAUUAUAACUAACAAUUAGUACACCAAAAAUUUUCUAAUAAUUUUAAUAUAAUUUUUAAAGUUUAAAUAAAAUUUAUACUAAGCUGAAACUCGAACUUCUACGUGUCCAGAAAACACUGGAGUUCGAAAAGCCGUACUACCACCAACGAUGUUGGAUUUCGAAACUGGAGGCGCACAUGGGCAGUUGAGUUAUGAGGAGUCCAAAUAUGCAAAUGCUUUCGCCUGAAAAUCGCCGGAAGUCAUCGGAUCGAGCUCGAAAAGUUUAAGCUGCGACGAGGCUCACCAACUAUUGUUGGCAAAGGAAAAUCGAUGGGAAAGGGCUGCCUUGACUUUUUUAGGGUCCAGGAGUCCGUUUACGGCGUCAGAUCGGCGAAGGGACGCUGGCAGGAGGCUGUUUCGGCAGCGACAGCCGGAGAGGAAACUUCCUCCUCGCAAACAGCUCCUCCUCGACAGUGACGGGCUGCGAUGAUGAGGAAGCCCACGGCAGGCGAGGAACAUAAAGCGACAAGGGGAAAAGCAAUCGAAAAAGAAGGUGCAGGGGAAGAGGGAGGUGGCGUCGCUGGAAAGGAGAGAAGGAGAGGAAGAAAACGCCGCUGGCGAUGGGGAAAGGUGAGGGAGUUGCAACAGCUGAAGGGAGGGGACAUGCGGUGGAAGGGAGGGAGUGGGGGAGAAAGAAGAAGAGGGUAGAGAAAAAAAAGAAAAGAGGAGGGAAAU